GACCAGACUCCUACGGGAGGCAGCAGUGGGGAAUAUUGCACAAUGGGGGAAACCCUGAUGCAGCGACGCCGCGUGAGUGAAGAAGUAUUUCGGUAUGUAAAGCUCUAUCAGCAGGGAAGAAAUAGCGACCUUUGGGUCGCCAGACGGUACCUGAUUAAGAAGCCCCGGCUAACUACGUGCCAGCAGCCGCGGUAAUACGUAGGGGGCAAGCGUUAUCCGGAUUUACUGGGUGUAAAGGGAGCGUAGACGGCGAUACAAGUCGGAAGUGAAAUACCCGGGCUUAACCUGGGAACUGCGUUGGAACCUGUAGGGCUGGAGUGCUGGAGAGGUAAGCGGAAUUCCUAGUGUAGCGGUGAAAUGCGUAGAUAUUAGGAGGAACACCAGUGGCGAAGGCGGCUUACUGGACAGUAACUGACGUUGAGGCUCGAAAGCGUGGGGAGCAAACAGGAUUAGAUCCCCCCGUAAG
rnacentral:rRNA from 1 species